rnacentral:rRNA from 1 species
AUUGAACGCUGGCGGCAUGCCUUACACAUGCAAGUCGAACGGCAGCGGGGGAGAAGCUUGCUUUUCCUGCCGGCGAGUGGCGAACGGGUGAGUAAUACAUCGGAACGUGCCCUGUAGUGGGGGAUAACUAGUCGAAAGAUUAGCUAAUACCACAUACGACCUGAGGGUGAAAGCGGGGGACCGCAAGGCCUCAUGCUAUAGGAGCGGCCGAUGUCUGAUUAGCUAGUUGGUGGGGUAAAGGCCUACCAAGGCGACGAUCAGUAGCUGGUCUGAGAGGACGAUCAGCCACACUGGGACUGAGACACGGCCCAGACUCCUACGGGAGGCAGCAGUGGGGAAUUUUGGACAAUGGGCGAAAGCCUGAUCCAGCAAUGCCGCGUGUGUGAAGAAGGCCUUCGGGUUGUAAAGCACUUUUGUCCGGAAAGAAAUGGCUCUGGUUAAUACCUGGGGUCGAUGACGGUACCGGAAGAAUAAGGACCGGCUAACUACGUGCCAGCAGCCGCCGUAA